rnacentral:rRNA from 1 species
UAAAGCAGCAGAAAUUGGCAGCUCUCUGCAAUGCCACAUGAUUGCCCACUGAAGCUAAGCAGGGCUGUACCCGGUCAGUACCUGGAUGGGAGACCACACAGACAAGCUAGGUUGCUGCUGGAA